rnacentral:rRNA from 1 species
GACGAACGCUGGCGGCAGGCCUAAUACAUGCAAGUCGAGCGCUCUAGCAAUAGGGAGCGGCGCACGGGUUCGUAACGCGUGGGAAUAUGCCUUUAGGUACGGAACAACCAAGGGAAACUUUGGCUAAUACCGUAUAAUAUCUUAGGAUCAAAGAUUCAUCGCCUAAAGAUUAGCCCGCGUCUGAUUAGCUAGUUGGUGGGGUAAAGGCCUACCAAGGCGACGAUCAGUAGCUGGUCUGAGAGGAUGAUCAGCCACACUUGGACUGAGACACGGCCCAGACUCCUACGGGAGGCAGCAGUGGGGAAUAUUGGACAAUGGGCGAAAGCCUGAUCCAGCAAUGCCGCGUGAGUGAUGAAGGCCUUAGGGUUGUAAAGCUCUUUUACCAGGGAUGAUAAUGACAGUACCUGGAGAAUAAGCUCCGGCUAACUCCGUGCCAGCAGCCGCAGUAA